rnacentral:rRNA from 1 species
UACGUAGGGGGCAAGCGUUGUCCGGAUUUAUUGGGCGUAAAGAGCUCGUAGGCGGUUCGGCAAGUCGGAUGUGAAAUCUCCACGCUUAACGUGGAGGGGCCAUUCGAAACUGCUGUGACUCGAGUCCGGUAGGGGAGUGUGGAAUUCCCGGUGUAGCGGUGAAAUGCGCAGAUAUCGGGAGGAACACCAGUGGCGAAGGCGGUUGCCUGGGCUU